rnacentral:rRNA from 1 species
UUAAGCGACUAAGCGUACACGGUGGAUGCCCUGGCAGUCAGAGGCGAUGAAGGACGUGCUAAUCUGCGAUAAGCGUCGGUGAGGUGAUAUGAACCGUUAUAACCGGCGAUUUCCGAAUGGGGAAACCCAGUGUGUUUCGACACACUAUCAUUAACUGAAUCCAUAGGUUAAUGAGGCGAACCGGGGGAACUGAAACAUCUAAGUACCCCGAGGAAAAGAAAUCAACCGAGAUUCCCCCAGUAGCGGCGAGCGAACGGGGAGGAGCCCAGAGCCUGAAUCAGUGUGUGUGUUAGUGGAAGCGUCUGGAAAGGCGCGCGAUACAGGGUGACAGCCCCGUACACAAAAAUGCACAUAUUGUGAGCUCGAUGAGUAGGGCGGGACACGUGGUAUCCUGUCUGAAUAUGGGGGGACCAUCCUCCAAGGCUAAAUACUCCUGACUGACCGAUAGUGAACCAGUACCGUGAGGGAAAGGCGAAAAGAACCCCGGCGAGGGGAGUGAAAAAGAACCUGAAACCGUGUACGUACAAGCAGUGGGAGCCUCUUAAUGGGGUGACUGCGUACCUUUUGUAUAAUGGGUCAGCGACUUAUAUUCUGUAGCAAGGUUAACCGAAUAGGGGAGCCGAAGGGAAACCGAGUCUUAACUGGGCGUUAAGUUGCAGGGUAUAGACCCGAAACCCGGUGAUCUAGCCAUGGGCAGGUUGAAGGUUGGGUAACACUAACUGGAGGACCGAACCGACUAAUGUUGAAAAAUUAGCGGAUGACUUGUGGCUGGGGGUGAAAGGCCAAUCAAACCGGGAGAUAGCUGGUUCUCCCCGAAAGCUAUUUAGGUAGCGCCUCGUGAAUUCAUCUCCGGGGGUAGAGCACUGUUUCGGCAAGGGGGUCAUCCCGACUUACCAACCCGAUGCAAACUGCGAAUACCGGAGAAUGUUAUCACGGGAGACACACGGCGGGUGCUAACGUCCGUCGUGAAGAGGGAAACAACCCAGACCGCCAGCUAAGGUCCCAAAGUCAUGGUUAAGUGGGAAACGAUGUGGGAAGGCCCAGACAGCCAGGAUGUUGGCUUAGAAGCAGCCAUCAUUUAAAGAAAGCGUAAUAGCUCACUGGUCGAGUCGGCCUGCGCGGAAGAUGUAACGGGGCUAAACCAUGCACCGAAGCUGCGGCAGCGACACUAUGUGUUGUUGGGUAGGGGAGCGUUCUGUAAGCCUGUGAAGGUGGCCUGUGAGGGUUGCUGGAGGUAUCAGAAGUGCGAAUGCUGACAUAAGUAACGAUAAAGCGGGUGAAAAGCCCGCUCGCCGGAAGACCAAGGGUUCCUGUCCAACGUUAAUCGGGGCAGGGUGAGUCGACCCCUAAGGCGAGGCCGAAAGGCGUAGUCGAUGGGAAACAGGUUAAUAUUCCUGUACUUGGUGUUACUGCGAAGGGGGACGAGAAGGCUAUGUUGGCCGGGCGACGGUUGUCCCGGUUUAAGCGUGUAGGCUGGUUUUCCAGGCAAAUCCGGAAAAUCAAGGCUGAGGCGUGAUGACGAGGCACUACGGUGCUGAAGCGACAAAUGCCCUGCUUCCAGGAAAAGCCUCUAAGCAUCAGGUAACAUCAAAUCGUACCCCAAACCGACACAGGUGGUCAGGUAGAGAAUACCAAGGCGCUUGAGAGAACUCGGGUGAAGGAACUAGGCAAAAUGGUGCCGUAACUUCGGGAGAAGGCACGCUGAUAUGUAGGUGAAGCGACUUGCUCGUGGAGCUGAAAUCAGUCGAAGAUACCAGCUGGCUGCAACUGUUUAUUAAAAACACAGCACUGUGCAAACACGAAAGUGGACGUAUACGGUGUGACGCCUGCCCGGUGCCGGAAGGUUAAUUGAUGGGGUUAGCGGUAACGCGAAGCUCUUGAUCGAAGCCCCGGUAAACGGCGGCCGUAACUAUAACGGUCCUAAGGUAGCGAAAUUCCUUGUCGGGUAAGUUCCGACCUGCACGAAUGGCGUAAUGAUGGCCAGGCUGUCUCCACCCGAGACUCAGUGAAAUUGAACUCGCUGUGAAGAUGCAGUGUACCCGCGGCAAGACGGAAAGACCCCGUGAACCUUUACUAUAGCUUGACACUGAACAUUGAGCCUUGAUGUGUAGGAUAGGUGGGAGGCUUUGAAGUGUGGACGCCAGUCUGCAUGGAGCCGGCCUUGAAAUACCACCCUUUAAUGUUUGAUGUUCUAACGUUGGCCCGUAAUCCGGGUUGCGGACAGUGUCUGGUGGGUAGUUUGACUGGGGCGGUCUCCUCCUAAAGAGUAACGGAGGAGCACGAAGGUUGGCUAAUCCUGGUCGGACAUCAGGAGGUUAGUGCAAUGGCAUAAGCCAGCUUGACUGCGAGCGUGACGGCGCGAGCAGGUGCGAAAGCAGGUCAUAGUGAUCCGGUGGUUCUGAAUGGAAGGGCCAUCGCUCAACGGAUAAAAGGUACUCCGGGGAUAACAGGCUGAUACCGCCCAAGAGUUCAUAUCGACGGCGGUGUUUGGCACCUCGAUGUCGGCUCAUCACAUCCUGGGGCUGAAGUAGGUCCCAAGGGUAUGGCUGUUCGCCAUUUAAAGUGGUACGCGAGCUGGGUUUAGAACGUCGUGAGACAGUUCGGUCCCUAUCUGCCGUGGGCGCUGGAGAACUGAGGGGGGCUGCUCCUAGUACGAGAGGACCGGAGUGGACGCAUCACUGGUGUUCGGGUUGUCAUGCCAAUGGCACUGCCCGGUAGCUAAAUGCGGAAGAGAUAAGUGCUGAAAGCAUCUAAGCACGAAACUUGCCCCGAGAUGAGUUCUCCCUGACCCUUUAAGGGUCCUGAAGGAACGUUGAAGACGACGACGUUGAUAGGCCGGGUGUGUAAGCGCAGCGAUGCGUUGAGCUAACCGGUACUAAUGAACCGUGAGGCUUAACCUU